rnacentral:rRNA from 1 species
GGGUUGUGAGGUUAAGCGACUAAGCGUACACGGUGGAUGCCCUGGCAGUCAGAGGCGAUGAAGGACGUGCUAAUCUGCGAUAAGCGUCGGUAAGGUGAUAUGAACCGUUAUAACCGGCGAUUUCCGAAUGGGGAAACCCAGUGUGAUUCGUCACACUAUCAUUAACUGAAUCCAUAGGUUAAUGAGGCGAACCGGGGGAACUGAAACAUCUAAGUACCCCGAGGAAAAGAAAUCAACCGAGAUUCCCCCAGUAGCGGCGAGCGAACGGGGAGCAGCCCAGAGCCUGAAUCAGUGUGUGUGUUAGUGGAAGCGUCUGGAAAGGCGCGCGAUACAGGGUGACAGCCCCGUACACAAAAAUGCACAUGCUGUGAGCUCGAUGAGUAGGGCGGGACACGUGGUAUCCUGUCUGAAUAUGGGGGGACCAUCCUCCAAGGCUAAAUACUCCUGACUGACCGAUAGUGAACCAGUACCGUGAGGGAAAGGCGAAAAGAACCCCGGCGAGGGGAGUGAAAAAGAACCUGAAACCGUGUACGUACAAGCAGUGGGAGCACGCUUAGGCGUGUGACUGCGUACCUUUUGUAUAAUGGGUCAGCGACUUAUAUUCUGUAGCAAGGUUAACCGAAUAGGGGAGCCGAAGGGAAACCGAGUCUUAACUGGGCGUUAAGUUGCAGGGUAUAGACCCGAAACCCGGUGAUCUAGCCAUGGGCAGGUUGAAGGUUGGGUAACACUAACUGGAGGACCGAACCGACUAAUGUUGAAAAAUUAGCGGAUGACUUGUGGCUGGGGGUGAAAGGCCAAUCAAACCGGGAGAUAGCUGGUUCUCCCCGAAAGCUAUUUAGGUAGCGCCUCGUGAAUUCAUCUCCGGGGGUAGAGCACUGUUUCGGCAAGGGGGUCAUCCCGACUUACCAACCCGAUGCAAACUGCGAAUACCGGAGAAUGUUAUCACGGGAGACACACGGCGGGUGCUAACGUCCGUCGUGAAGAGGGAAACAACCCAGACCGCCAGCUAAGGUCCCAAAGUCAUGGUUAAGUGGGAAACGAUGUGGGAAGGCCCAGACAGCCAGGAUGUUGGCUUAGAAGCAGCCAUCAUUUAAAGAAAGCGUAAUAGCUCACUGGUCGAGUCGGCCUGCGCGGAAGAUGUAACGGGGCUAAACCAUGCACCGAAGCUGCGGCAGCGACGCUUAUGCGUUGUUGGGUAGGGGAGCGUUCUGUAAGCCUGUGAAGGUGUGCUGUGAGGCAUGCUGGAGGUAUCAGAAGUGCGAAUGCUGACAUAAGUAACGAUAAAGCGGGUGAAAAGCCCGCUCGCCGGAAGACCAAGGGUUCCUGUCCAACGUUAAUCGGGGCAGGGUGAGUCGACCCCUAAGGCGAGGCCGAAAGGCGUAGUCGAUGGGAAACAGGUUAAUAUUCCUGUACUUGGUGUUACUGCGAAGGGGGGACGGAGAAGGCUAUGUUGGCCGGGCGACGGUUGUCCCGGUUUAAGCGUGUAGGCUGGUUUUCCAGGCAAAUCCGGAAAAUCAAGGCUGAGGCGUGAUGACGAGGCACUACGGUGCUGAAGUAACAAAUGCCCUGCUUCCAGGAAAAGCCUCUAAGCAUCAGGUAACAUCAAAUCGUACCCCAAACCGACACAGGUGGUCAGGUAGAGAAUACCAAGGCGCUUGAGAGAACUCGGGUGAAGGAACUAGGCAAAAUGGUGCCGUAACUUCGGGAGAAGGCACGCUGAUAUGUAGGUGAAGCGACUUGCUCGUGGAGCUGAAAUCAGUCGAAGAUACCAGCUGGCUGCAACUGUUUAUUAAAAACACAGCACUGUGCAAACACGAAAGUGGACGUAUACGGUGUGACGCCUGCCCGGUGCCGGAAGGUUAAUUGAUGGGGUCAGCGCAAGCGAAGCUCUUGAUCGAAGCCCCGGUAAACGGCGGCCGUAACUAUAACGGUCCUAAGGUAGCGAAAUUCCUUGUCGGGUAAGUUCCGACCUGCACGAAUGGCGUAAUGAUGGCCAGGCUGUCUCCACCCGAGACUCAGUGAAAUUGAACUCGCUGUGAAGAUGCAGUGUACCCGCGGCAAGACGGAAAGACCCCGUGAACCUUUACUAUAGCUUGACACUGAACAUUGAGCCUUGAUGUGUAGGAUAGGUGGGAGGCUUGGAAGUGUGGACGCCAGUCUGCAUGGAGCCGACCUUGAAAUACCACCCUUUAAUGUUUGAUGUUCUAACGUUGACCCGUAAUCCGGGUUGCGGACAGUGUCUGGUGGGUAGUUUGACUGGGGCGGUCUCCUCCUAAAGAGUAACGGAGGAGCACGAAGGUUGGCUAAUCCUGGUCGGACAUCAGGAGGUUAGUGCAAUGGCAUAAGCCAGCUUGACUGCGAGCGUGACGGCGCGAGCAGGUGCGAAAGCAGGUCAUAGUGAUCCGGUGGUUCUGAAUGGAAGGGCCAUCGCUCAACGGAUAAAAGGUACUCCGGGGAUAACAGGCUGAUACCGCCCAAGAGUUCAUAUCGACGGCGGUGUUUGGCACCUCGAUGUCGGCUCAUCACAUCCUGGGGCUGAAGUAGGUCCCAAGGGUAUGGCUGUUCGCCAUUUAAAGUGGUACGCGAGCUGGGUUUAGAACGUCGUGAGACAGUUCGGUCCCUAUCUGCCGUGGGCGCUGGAGAACUGAGGGGGGCUGCUCCUAGUACGAGAGGACCGGAGUGGACGCAUCACUGGUGUUCGGGUUGUCAUGCCAAUGGCACUGCCCGGUAGCUAAAUGCGGAAGAGAUAAGUGCUGAAAGCAUCUAAGCACGAAACUUGCCCCGAGAUGAGUUCUCCCUGACUCCUUGAGAGUCCUGAAGGAACGUUGAAGACGACGACGUUGAUAGGCCGGGUGUGUAAGCGCAGCGAUGCGUUGAGCUAACCGGUACUAAUGAACCGUGAGGCUUAACCUUACAACGCCGAAG